CCGCUGACUUCUUCGGCAAGAAAAAAAAAAGAACGCAAGAAAAAUAAAGAAGAGAGAGAAAGGUAUAAGAGUAUUUUGGUUAGUUUGUUGAAAAUUCGGACUGAAUCUGCAAAAUCGAAAAACACGGCCCAAUUUUACAAAAGCUCAAAACUUGUGAAUUUUUUAUGCAAAUUGGCCUUCAAUCAAUCGGCGUGUGUAAAUUAUAUCUCACAUUUUUAACAGGUGUGAGUGAACUACUAGUCAUAUCGAAUAACUAGUAAAAUCAUUCCAUUCAUUGGAUGAGUGGAAUAUAGGAUACACACUCCAGUUGGGGUGUAUAUAUUUAGCAUAAAAGGUUCAGUUAGCCUUCAUUAAUGUAUU
rnacentral:lncRNA from 1 species